UGCACAUACUCUCUUUGAGGUUCAAAAUCCCCAGUAUGACUCUUUGUAAUGUACUUUCCAUACAAUUUUGAUUUAAACAGAGAAUAGGGUUGUGGCCAAAAGAGUUUCUCAUCUUUGUGCACAGAUGCCUACACACAAACACACACAUGCAAGGUAAAAACUCUGAGUCAUAUGCAAAGGCUCAAUCGUAAUGUUGGAAACAGGAGCAGACAAAUGGAAAGUACAAUGUAAAGCACAUUUGUCACUGCAAGGUACAAACAUGUACUCUUUAUAAUCCUUAUUUAUGUUUAUUCCAAAACAUUCCAAAAUCCUAAAGCAUUAGUAAAGGGUUCCAGCUUGAGCUUGCUCUUCUGAGUCCAGUGGAACAAAGUGAUCAUACCAUACUGAGCCUGCAUGUCUUGCUAUUACUCUACACAGCUAUUCUAGUGAAGAUACGGCCACAGAAUUGUUCUAGGGCUCCAUUCUGUGUUCACUGAAAUCAUUGGUGAAAGCUGUAUAUGGCUUCAGUGGUUCAGGAUCUGGGCCCGAGCGGGUAGAAUAUCCAAAUGAGUUCAGGGGUGUGGAGAAGACUAAAGGAACUGUGCCCAACUGCAUCUUCCAAAAUGUAUGAUCAGUUUAUAGAACUCUGUAGGGCACAAAAGCUGAGGAUCACUACAAGUCUUGGGCCAUCCCAGUGCACAUGCUUGGGGAGAAAUAGAUCCAGCAAAUCUGGCGAACUGCAGAAUGAGAAGAGAAACAAAAGGAUUCAGCUGCAGUGGGACUACCCAGAAUGGAACAGCUGAUCAUGAAUGCAGUAUCACAGCCAUUUCAUCCCAGAAGGAGUUUAAGCCACAGGGAGCAUGUAUGCCAGUAAUAUGAGACUUCGAGACUUUGCUGACAUUCAACAAUCAAUACCAUUCAGUAGCCAUCUCCAGUACUUCCUGGUUCUCCUUAUAGAGACUGAGCUUGAUGAAAUUAUGUUUUGUUACUGGCACCUUUCCCAGCAUUGCAUCUUUGUACCUAUAGCCAACAAGCUUCCUCUCCCCAUAAAGGAAGCAUGUAAAAACUUCCUUGGGCUGUCUGUUACGCUAUAUCUAUUAACACCUACAUGCUAUGUGGAAAUCUCUAUCACCAAUAGAGAAAUCUAGAGUAGUCCACAAAGACUCUAUGUGGGAUGUGGCAACUGUGAUUCCAAGAGACUGACCAAUAUUUGAACCUGUUUGGUUUUGUUUCCAGAUUAGGCUGCUUCUGGGUAUGCAGCCAUUUCCUUGUGCCAGCCCAGAUCAUUCAAAAUUGUUUGAUUGCAUGAGAUUUGUCAUUAAAAACAAAAGGAAGGAGCAAUAAAACAUUGUAUGGAACUGUAAAUAACCUGAGA
rnacentral:lncRNA from 1 species